UGAUUCGAAGAUCCUCGAGCCCCAUAUGUAUCCGGUCUCUACAGAUAAUCAUCGAGAUUAAUCUUGAAUCUUUUUUUCAUCAUAGAUCCUUCUUCUCUAAGUAGGAUCUUAGCCUUUAGAAUCUCGAUCAACUCCUUGAUCUAGACUGUGGAAUCAACUCUUUAGUCUGCAGUCUUCUUCUCCUCGUUUCUCACUAUAGAAGAAGAUCUCUUUAACCUUGGAGUGUAGAAAAAUGGGACACCCAACCUUUGGACGUGGAAAGGGAAGAAAG
rnacentral:lncRNA from 1 species